UUAUAAAGUACUUUUAUUUUAUUUUACUUUACUUUAUGUUUAUUGCGUUAUUACUUUUUACUUUUUACUUUUUAAUUUGUACACCAAUACCAUGCCAUAUGCAAUAAAAGAAAAGUUAAAAAGUCACUCGGGCCUCUAAUCAAAAGCUAAGCGGCUCGAAGAUGAUUGCAUUUUUUUACUUUAUUUUAUACAAAUUUUAUAUUUCGUCCAAAUUAAAAAUAUUUUACAGGUAGCUACAUAAGUGUCGUGUACCUACGUACUACAUACACCAAAUACAGUUAUGGAUCUUUCAAAGGAUACCUACUCAUCUUAAAUACGAUGGAUACAUUUGAAAGUUUAUACACACUAAAGUAUGCUUAGGCUAAUAAGUUUCUACGGAUCCGUGAAGAGGUAUGCAUCAACUACAAAAGAUGUUUGCCUUCAAUACACGAACAAAGAAUAUAAUAUACCUUCAGUCAUGACAGAAGGAUUUGGGAAACCUGGGUAAUGUAUUAAGUAUACAAUGUGGAUCAAAAUUGUCAAGCUAAAUUAUGAUUGAUUGGCACUAGGAGUCCAUGUACUAGAUGUACACACCGUUUAUAUUUUAUUCAGUGGCAUAUAAUUUCUACGGAUCCGUGAAGAAGUAUGCAUCAACCAAAAAAGAUGUUUGCCUUCUAUACAUGAACAAAGAAUAUACUAUACCUUCAGUCAUGACAGAAGGAUUUGGGAAACAUCCAACACCAUAUGUGUUAUUUUAGAUAAAUCCCAUGGGAAAGAAUUUAUAUUAGAAAGAUACAGAGAAACACUCGGGUAAAAUUGUAUUUAGAUGUUAAAUCUACUACGUACCAACUAUCGUUUAACUUAUGCAACAAUUAAAAUUAUUAUUACUUUUAUGUUCAACAGAUUAUGUUGUUAUUAAUUACUAUAAUAUUUCUAUAAAAAACUUGUGUCUGUAUUUUAAUUUAUGAAUAACAGUGCAUGUGAAAAUCUCUAAACCCUGUAACAUUACAUUCUUUGAAUAUUCAAGUAUCUAGUUAGUUCAUAAAUCAUGUUGAUGUGGGUGUUUGUUUUUGAGAUAGUCUAAUACCUAUGUAAAAUCAUUACGUUUUUGAACACUUAAAAACAGUUUAAUACAAAAAUUGAUACUUUUUAAAAUCAAAACAUGUUUAUUAUUAAGUUGAAUAUCAAAAUAUUUUAUUUUACAUCAUUUGUUAUUAUUAUCCUUGUGAAAUGAUUCAUUUACUGUCAAAAUACUUUAUUUCUACCAUUUUGAUAUUGUGAAUUUUCUAUGUCAUUGUUAAACAUAAAAAAUCUGUAGUUUUGACUUGAAUUCCUGUUUUACACAAAGUGAGUAAUUAAAAUGAAAGAUCGAAUAUUGAUUGUCGAAUUAUUAUUUAUUAACAUUUCUACAUGCAAGAAUAAUACAGAACCAUUUUUCCUGAUAGAAAUUAAACUAUUUUUUAGUUAAAAAUGCAUUUAAGUUUAUUUUUCAUGUCUUACAUUAGAAAUACCUUUUUUUGUGACAAAUGUAUCUUUUUUUCUAAGGUCUAAUCUAUCUACUGUAAAUAUAUCUUUACAUUUUAAAAGUUAAACUAAAGUUGGAAAAUAAAUAUAUUAUUAUUAUUAUUAUUA